UGGUACAGAGAAUACGAGGCACUGGAAUAUGUGCACACCUAUAUUCAGUGGUUGUUUCCUUUACAAGAGCCAGGAGUGAACCAACAGGCCAGUGUCCUGACCAAGGCAGAGAUCCAGGAAUUUUGUCAAAACACGACUGCAAAAGAAAACCUGUUGAAGUCGUACAAGCUCAUGUUGGACUUUUAUGGCAUCGAGUUGUGU